CUACGGGGGGCUGCAGUGGGGAAUAUUGGACAAUGGGGGAAACCCUGAUCCAGCAAUGCCGCGUGUGUGAAGAAGGCCUGCGGGUUGUAAAGCACUUUCGGUUGGGAGGACUGCUUCUAGCACUAAUAUUGUUGGAAGUUGACGUUACCUUCAGAAGAAGCACCGGCUAACUCCGUGCCAGCAGCCGCGGUAAUACGGAAGGUGCAAGCGUUAAUCGGAAUUACUGGGCGUAAAGCGCGCGUAGGCGGCUAGAUCAGUCGGGUGUGAAAGCCCCGGGCUUAACCUGGGAACUGCAUCCGAUACUGUCUAGCUUGAGUACAGGAGAGGAGAGUGGAAUUCCACAUGUAGCGGUGAAAUGCGUAGAUAUGUGGAGGAACACCAAUGGCGAAGGCAGCUCUCUGGCCUGAUACUGACGCUGAGGUGCGAAAGCGUGGGGAGCAAACAGGAUUAGAUACCCCAGUAGUC
rnacentral:rRNA from 1 species